UUUUAUGGUUUCUUUCCGUUUUUCUUUUUCCUUCUCCCUCUUUUUCCUUGCCCAUGUCUCUCAAAUUCAGCUCUUAUUAGUAAUCUCUCAAUUACUGAUCCCACCAUCCCUGCUUGUGGCUUGUGGCACCGAAACAGAGAAAAAAAAAAGGAAUCCUUUGGAAAAUAAAGUCCACUACUGGAGAAGUGAUGAGAUAAAAAAUGUCUUCUAGCUUGGACACGCAGCACCAAGCUUCUAAACAAAAGUAACAGAGCAAAUAAGUUUGUGGCCGCUUUAUCAUUUUAAAGUCCGAAUAAAAGAGCAAUAACCAAAGCUUUCACUUACAGAGAGACCCACAGCACCUAAACCAAAGACAGCUACAGCUGAACCAAAAUGCACAUCAGCGGUAUUCCAAGCAGCUCCAACACCUACACAUGACACACAUUAUCAAUUUGGUCUAAACUACUCAUGCUCAUUUGAUCACGUCAUUUACUAUUGUCACAAAUAUAUAGUUCACAUAACAUGAUUAUUGAUGCAUCAUUGGUCUAAUACUCAGCCAAACAUAUGAUGAGUUAAAUGUAAUUAAUGGUAAGGGUGUUGGUAGUGUGGUUU